UUUUAAAAAAAUCUUUUAUAGGAACUUGGAUACAAUUGGCGUCGCUGUUGAUCUGAUUCUUCUUUUUCGUGAACUGCGGGUUGAACAGGAAUCCCUGUUGACAGCUUUUCGCUGUGGCCUGCAGUUUCUAGGCAACAUUGCCUCGCGGAAUGAAGAUUCCCAGUCUAUUGUUUGGGUGCAUGCUUUCCCAGAACUCUUUUUGUCUUGCUUAAAUCAUCCAGACAAAAAAAUUGUUGCCUACUCGUCAAUGAUUUUGUUCACAUCCCUGAAUUCUGAAAGAAUGAAAGAACUGGAAGAAAACCUGAACAUUGCUAUCGACGUCAUUGAAGCUCACCAGAAGCAGCCUGAAUCAGAAUGGCCGUAAGU